rnacentral:rRNA from 1 species
AUUGAACGCUGACGGCAUGCCUUACACAUGCAAGUCGAACGGCAGCACGGGUGCUUGCACCUGGUGGCGAGUGGCGAACGGGUGAGUAAUGCAUCGGAACGUACCCGGAAGUGGGGGAUAACGUAGCGAAAGUUACGCUAAUACCGCAUAUUCUGUGAGCAGGAAAGAGGGGGAUCGCAAGACCUCUCGCUUUCGGAGCGGCCGAUGUCGGAUUAGCUAGUUGGCGGGGUAAGAGCCCACCAAGGCGACGAUCCGUAGCGGGUCUGAGAGGAUGAUCCGCCACACUGGGACUGCGACACGGCCCAGACUCCUACGGGAGGCAGCAGUGGGGAAUUUUGGACAAUGGGCGCAAGCCUGAUCCAGCCAUGCCGCGUGAGUGAAGAAGGCCUUCGGGUUGUAAAGCUCUUUCGGCUGGGAAGAAAUCGCAUCUCCUAAUACGGGGUGUGGAUGACGGUACCAGCAUAAGAAGCACCGGCUAACUACGUGCCAGCCGCCGCCGUAAGAC